CUUACUUCUUUGACCCAGCCCUGAACAGUCAGCAGCGUCGUCUCCUCGACCUCUGCCAUCUCCCGCAGAGGGACGAGCAUUGACUCGGGACAUAUUAAGCCCCGAGCCUCUGCCUCCAGGUGGGCGGGGACUUGGACCGGGGCAGCAAUGUAGGCCACGGUCUGAUGCCUUGUCAGCAUUGUUCUACUUCUAAUAUCCCCGUAACUGCUCCACCCAAAAUUUUUUAUCCUGUAAGACUUCCCCUCCUCUAUCCCCUUAGCCAAUUCCUCAAACAUUAUAAAUUUAGUUGCCCUCUUCCCAUCAGACACCCCAGCGGCAUAGUUGGUCAGUGUGGUGACGGCCAAUGCCUCCUCCUCUGAGAUGUUCCACUCCUUCACCUUUAUCGUCUCUCGCAGAAUCACCACUUUGAAGGUGUCGGUGUACAGCUUCUCUGUUCUUUUGUUGAAAGCCAUUUUCUGAAAAUACAUACAAGAGAAAAAAAACAGUUUUUAGAGGCAAGUUUAAUAUUCAAGCUAAGAUUAAAUAAGUAAAAGCACACCCUAGUAGCAUAUAAAGUUAAAGAACGACCCAGAUAAUAAAGAUAUCACGUUGUUGUCCCCUCCUGCCAACAGAGGGCGCCCCCCUCUUUUCGCGUCUAUUUAAGAGGUGAAAUGAUGCUGUUACAGAAGUUCCGGAGUUACUGCUGCAGACAGUGCGUGCAUGCUGCAUGGGAGCACGACGGUCUUAUCCAACGGCCCUUUUAACGUCCAUCGCAAGCAGCUGUGUUCAGUAUUUUAAGUGACUCCUGAAGUUAGUUUAUUCGCUCUGUGCUUACAAUUCCAAACAACGGUUGGUAAAGGCUACUGUUAACAUUAGCAUAGAUAAGACUAGCUCCGUUGAAGUAGGCCAGUUAGACCUCCCCCGUCCACGAGGCAGACGCUAACGGAGCAUAGCAUGUGGCGCAUUCCGCAAAGAUAACUAAGACAGAUCUUGCUUGCAUCAAAUGCUGCUUUGAGGGUCACUCAACACGGAUGCUUCCUGUUGCAUCCAGGAGGCCACCGGACCACUCACCACAGGAGCUGAUGCACAUUCUUCAGCUGAACUUUACACCGUUGUCCCACCAUCCACUGAAUUGAACACCAUUCAGACUCAUGGCUUUAUCAGCAGUGACAUGCGUGUGGUGUGUAGAGACUCCAACGGUUGUGUCAGUGUUCUCUCGUUGACGGCGCCGGGGCUAGAGACCACGGCCCAGUGGAAGGCUCUGAGGCCUGGAUCACAGCCAUCUCCUUCUAGGACACCCAGCUGUUCUACUCAGCAAGCUGAAAGGCUGGGACCCCAGGAUGGAGCUCUCCUCUCCCACUUUCACCAGCAAGAGAAGAUGCUGCUGCUACUGCUGCUGCCUCAGCACUACACUUCCAGACGGUCUGUCCAAAGGCUGCAUCCCACAUGGCCGGUGGAACUACGUGCUCUUUAGCACAGGGGUCCAGGACCUCCUUGUCCCCGUCUGGGAGGGUCCUGAACCCCACAGCCUGGACCCCCUUGGGGGAGGGGGGAAUUAAUUUGGCCUUUUCAAAUUGAAAUAAUAAAUGGAAAGGCAUGGCUUGGACAAUCUCUCCAAAGGCUAAUGCCUCCUUUGGGGUCAUUUAAUAACUGGAGGAGAGACCCUAGCUGCUCCUUCUGGCCCGCAUAUGCAUGGCGCUUAUAGGGAGGCCAACCUCUAGCUGUGAGGUUGGCCUCCCGGGAGAUACCAUGGCCCGGGUCUCUGCCUCCAGGUGGGGGCGGGGACUUGUACAGGGUCAGUGAUGCAUGUUUCUGUUGUAUGUUGUUUCAUGUUUUGUUGGUUUUAAUAAAUCCAGUUUUCUGACUAAA